CGUAGCUCAACGGGUAGAGCAUCCGGCUGUUAACCGGAAGGCUGUAGGUUCGAAACCUACCGUUCCCGCCA
rnacentral:tRNA from 1 species